AUAAUUCUCUUAAAGUAGUGACUUCACCAACAGGAAUUCCAGGCCCCCUGGUGUGCCAGCUCAAGGGAUAAGCAGAGUAUGUCGGGUUCCCAGGUGCCAAUGAACAGAGAAAUAGCCAAAGGGCUCGCUGAGUGGGAGCAGAGGUAAAUGGGCCUGGAUAAUUGGAAAACUGGAUAGUCACGAGGUUAACUAUGCCACAGGCAAGAAUCCAGAUGGUUCCAACCUACCUCAGCCAGUAUGACGUGAAACAAGGUCCCAGCUUGAACACUCUGAGUUUUGAACAGAUAUGUCUGAGAGGACAUCUGCCAGAAGCCUAUUUGCAUGAGGAACUUAGAAACCUCCAGGAGAAAGCUCAGACUGAAGGAAAGAGGAGUCGGCUUGCCAACUGCAAGGCACCAGACAAUAAAUAAUGCCUUAGUGGUCAAUGGAAAG
rnacentral:lncRNA from 10 species